rnacentral:hammerhead_ribozyme from 1 species
AAGCGAAACGGGGGGCUUUCCCCCGUCUGCCCGGCGUGGUGGCCGGGUACUGAUGAGCAGCCGACC